rnacentral:tRNA from 1 species
GGUGGCUCAGUGGUAGAGCGCUUGCCUUUCAUGCAUGAGGUCCUGGGUUCGAUUCCUCAGCACCA